AGUUCCGUAGAAAGUGUAAUGUAUAAUUUCGUAGAUUCACUAAUCAUUAAUAUAAAGACACUGAAAUAACGAUUUUCGUAUAAGAAAAUGGUAUAAUAAGAUAAUAAAAAGAUUGUCUUACUUUAAAUGUACAGUUUAAUGAGUAAUAAAAUUAUAUACAAUUACAAUUUAUAAAAAAAUGCAGCAGGAAUAUAAGUAUAUUUAUACUUCUCAAUGUCAUAUUAACAUCAAUACACAUAAUAAAUACUUUAUUUUUAUUGUAAUGUUGUAACAUAUCACAACAUAAUAGUUACAAUAAAUAAAAGUGUUUAUAUAAUUCUACUAAAUCGACAAAAAUUGUAAAAAAUACAAUAUUAAAAGUAAAUAGUUUAAGUUCUUAUUAACAAAAAUAAAUAGCAGAGACAGUUUGAAAUAAUUAAUGAAAAAGCUAUACUUAAAUGUAGAAAAUUAUAUUUAAGGUAAAUAAACAAAUAUGUUGAUGUUUUAUAUUUAUUUAGUUUGGUUUACAAUAUUCAAUUUUCUAUUAAUACAAUCAACUAUUCGCACCAACCCGAGUACAGGUUCCCCAAGGGAUUCAGCUAUUUUGGCUAAAACUUUGGGAUUAAAAUAACCCAAUUGUAUAACUUCAUGCAAAAAUAAAACAAAAAUUGUAAAAAAUACAAUAUUAAAAGUAAAAAGUUUAAGUUCUUAUUAAAAAAAAAAAAAAAAAUAGCAGAGAAAGUUUGAAAUAAUUAAUGAANCUUAAAUGUAGGAAAUUAUAUUUAAGGUAAAUAAACAAAUAUGUUGAUGUUUUAUAUUUAUUUAGUUGCAUGAUUAUCAUUAUUUAGUUCGGUUUAUAAUUUUCAAUCUUCUAAAUCGGGAUUAUAACCAAUUAUUUGCAACGCCCCGAGUGCAGGUUCUGGAAUGGACGGAACCAUAACUUCCGGAUCAAUAUUAUGCAAUUGUUCAACUUCAGGCAUUAAGUCGGUAGGCAGUCUGUUUUCCAUGAGUUCACAACAUAUGUGAAUAGGAUUAUCUCGAAUAAAUCCUUGAAUACAUUCUUCAAAAUUUCGA